UGAUUCAGCACACGGCUCGCAGGCCACCGGUGUCCUGACGUCAGUUGGCCCAGCUGGCUCCCGGGGCCUGGAAAAGUCCACAGAGAUGGACAAACUGAGACUCCGAGAGAUUUAGCUGACUUGCCUUCCGCGCCCCCAACCACCACCACCAGGUCGUGGAAGUUCCGGAACUGACCCAUCCUUCUGCAGGCAUUUGCAAGCCUUCAGUCUGUGCCAGGCCUUCUGCGGGGUUCAGGGGAUGCAGAGGCGAAUUGGCCACAGCCCCUGCCCCUCGUGGGAGAUGGCAGCCACUUCUAGCCCCAAGAUCUGAAUCUGGGUGUAGCCAGGUGAGCCUGAGCUCCUGCUAGCCUCUGCAACUUAAGAGUUUUGAGUAUCAAAAAAAAAAAAAAAAAGAGUUUUGAGUCUCUGAUU